CAGGCCUUGGUACUUGAAAUAUACAAUGAGACUAUAAGGGAUUUGUUAGCACCAACAGAAAAUCCUGGAAAAAAGUACAAUGUUAUACACGAUGCCAAUGGAAAAAACACAUAUGUUCCAGACCUGACUAUUGUGAACGUGUGCGGCGCAGAUGAGAUUUCCACUCUCCUACAACGGGCUGCACAAAGCAGAUCACUAGAAAAGUUGUUAAGUUUGCUACUACAACGAAGAUGA